rnacentral:lncRNA from 1 species
UUGGGUAACUUUAUUAAAAUAAUAUCUUCAAGCUUAUUAAAAAAGUAUGUAACAGUAACAUUUUUUAUAUGUUGAAUUUUCAAAUAUUCUAUAAUGAAUAUUUAUUUUUAAAAUCGGAAUAAAAAUGCCAUGUAAAAACAAUUACUAUAUUAUAAAUAUGAUUAUACUACAUGAUCACAAUUACUUAUAUAUACACAAACUAGAGCUCAAGAGCAGAAGGAUUACCAUUUGCUUUGGGCAAUAGAGUACAUAAAUUCCUCCUACAACUCUCUUAUUAUUCAAACUUGUAGGGUGGACUUUGUUUUAAAAAUGAA